rnacentral:misc_RNA from 1 species
AUGGCCGAGACAACAUUUGCAAGACUCUCUCUCACACACACAAGUGACAAGAUCAUUUGCACAAGUUCGUAUACAUUGAUUGUUCCUUUGUGGCAAAUAUAUGAAAGCCAAAGCUGGCCGCUGAAGUUGCCAAGGGAUUCCAUGAAGCAGAAUUUCCAGGUUCCUGAGAACUAAGUAUGGAAUAGCAUUUUCAAGUUCUAUUGAGAAUGGCAUGUGUUCUUACUAUGUCUAGCUUCAUUGACAUGGUGAAUCAUAGGCAUUUGGCUAUCUGAAACCAAUUUGGUUAAACUCAUUUAACAUCAGAAGCUGUUUCUUGAAUAGAAACUCUAUCCAACAUAAAAUUGCUUGUAGGUUAGGUGCUUGUAUUGAUUUGUUUUGCUUGGUUUUGAGCAAAUUCAACUUUUUCUUAGGUGCAACUGGACCAUUGGCUGGAAAAUCAGGCAUAGACAGACAACGGAAAAUUGCAGACUUGCUGAAGAUACACCGCUUGAUUAUAUCCUUCCCAACAUACAAAAUCAAGCAUUCUUUCACUAAAUACAAAUGGAUACGAAUAAGGAAAUCUGGUGAACUUGAACAAAAUUUGUUGCAUUGUGCAAUCCAAUUUAGGCAGUUCACAGUAACUUUAUAAAUUAUGUCAAGGCAGAUAGCAAUUAGCAAACCAAUUGCCAAUAUCUUCACUAGAAACACAUCAGAUACAAUAAUCAGCUUCAUCAUUGCUUGACCACAUUCUCCACGUACCACUUGUAAGUAUCGAUAAGCCCAUCCUUAAGUGAAACACUAGGAGGCCACCACAAACCCAACAGCUUGGAGCUGUCCGUGAGCUUUCUUGGGGUCCCAUCUGGCUUUGAUGUAUCCCAAACAAGCUCCACAUCAAACCGCACCACUUCCUUCAUUGACUCCGCCAACUCCCUGAUCGUUACCUCCUUCCCACUUCCAACAUUUACAUGUUCCAGCCCACUAUAGCUCUCCAUCAAAAACACCACCGCGUCCGCCAAAUCAUCCACAUGUAGAAACUCCCUCAAUGGACUCCCUGUUCCCCACACCACCACCUCCUUUGCCCCGCUCACUUUUGCCUCGUGAAACCUCCUCAUCAACGCCGGAAGAACAUGAGAAUUUUCUGGAUGAAAGUUAUCAUUUGGAUCAUAUAAAUUGGUGGGCAUCCCAGAAAUUGCAUCCCAGUUGUACUGAAUUCUGUAGGCUUGACACAUUUUAUUCCAGCGAUCUUGGCCACAGCAUACCAUUCAUUAGUGGGCUCCAGAGGUCCUGUGAGCAGGGCGUUUUCUGGGAUUGGCUGAGGAGCUAACUUGGGGUAUAUACAGGAAGAACCUAAAAAGAGCAAUUUCUUGACGCCAUGGCGAAAAGAGGAGUCGAUGACAUUGGUUUGGAUCUGGAGAUUGAUGGCUAUGAAAUCAGCCGGAUAAGUGUUGUUAGCAUGGAUGCCGCCAACUUUGGCAGCAGCCAAGAUAAGAAAUUCCGGCUUUUCAGCGGCAAAGAAGGACUCGAUUGGAGGGUGAGGUCGAGCUCCGCAUGGGUGCGAAGGACGAGAUUAGUGAAGCCAAGGGCGUGGAAUUUGCGAACGAUAGUAGAUCCAACCAGACCACGGUGGCCAGCUACGAAGAUCUUGGAGGAUUUACUAGAGAGGAAAGAUGAUGAAUCUAGAGAAAAAGAUGAGUAAAUAGAACAAGUGAGAUCUCUAAUUGAUAGCUGAAACAAAAAUGUGGGAAAAAGAAGAGAAUACCGUGGCUAAGACAGCCCAUUUGUCAGAGGUGAAUCUCCGCAGUUAUGGUGGAUGUUACAAACGAUAGUGUUUCGAAGACUAAAGGCUAGCAGAAGCCCUUCAGUUAAAACAAAAGGUACAAACUAAAGGCUACAGAGUUAGAAAGUUUACAGAAGGGAAACUUCUUUUAUCAAUUCAUAGAAGAAUAACAGGAAAAAUAAUAAUAAUAAUAACACACACCGACACAAGCAAAGGGAUUAAGGGAAACUUCAUCUGUCAAUUCCCAGCCUGUAUUAAUAAGUGACAAGUCUAAGCUGGUUUUCAUACUUGCUAAAAGAUUAGAUUUAGUUGGAAAUUUUGGAGGGGAUUCGAGUAAAAUGGUUCAUGACAAUAUAACACAGGCAUUUUAGCGAAUACCUAAUCGGCAUAAUACAAAGAUGCUUAAACCUUAUGAAUCAGCAAAUUAAGUCCGAUGAACACUGAACAAGCAUAAAAUGUCAACAAUUUUGACUAGCAAACCAACACUUUUACAGUCUAGCAAAAUGGGAAGUGGUUAAAAAAACAAACUAUCGAUUUUUAGAUCUUACCUUCUCUUUUUUCCCUUCAGGAUUUGCUCUUUCUGUGCUUAGAUCUGAGUAAAAACAGAAUCAAUUUCAGUGAGAAUGGCGGUGCGAUUUGACUUUUGACAAAUAGUAUUCGUUGAUGAAAAGGGUAGGCUUUAGGGAACAAUUAGUUUUAAAAUGGGCUUUUUAUUUUUGGGUUUUU